CAAUAUUUUGCACAGACACCGCCGGUAUCGUUGCUACAAGACGUCAUCAGGCUUCUCACAAUUAUCCUCAUGGCUAUAUCGCGUGAGUCAUUUAAGUGUAAAACAAUAUAGAAAGAUCACAACUCAAUAAUAUAUUUAAUGUCAUGCACGUAUUUUGCGUCGACAGAGAGCAUAUGUUUUACGUGUAAGAAAAACAAUGAUAGUAACUUUAAAAGAGUGUUUCGUUGCAAUUGUGUUUGUUCUAAUGGGUUUCAAUGGAUCUAUAGUGGAGAUGGCAAGAACUACGAUAAGGGAAAAAGGAAUAAGUUUUAAACUGCCAACAAAUUUAACGCACGGAACAAGAAUAAUUAUUAAAGGCAAAAUGGACGUUGGAAAGGAAAUACAGGUCAUAAUCGAGGACAAAGCAAAAACUAAUAACGAGAGUUGUUGCCUUAUAUUUGAUGCAAUGAUUGAAGCCCUCACCGUUAUUAACAGCAAAAAUGUGAUCGGAACAUGGCCCUACAGUGUAUACCAUGGAGGGAAUAAGAUGGUGCCGUUCGAAGUUGGUAUGGAAGCUCGCGCUAGCCCACAGAAUGAAAGCAGUCUUUUAGACAUCUACUUCGACGGCAACAAUCAAGGAGCGUUAGCGGUCGACGCGUGCGAAUUCACAACGUUUGAGAACAUCAAAAAGAUUACCUUAAAGGGGGUACAGCAAGUUACUAAAUUGGCAUUUGAAUUUGAUUUCACAUGACUCCGAGAUGUUAUGGAAUUAAAAUUUGACAGUUCAAGUAUAUUCAAUGUAACAUGGUGUACUUGCCUCGUGAGAUAUGUGCGAAUGAGAUUCAGCGAGAUGCUGAAUACCCACCGGUCUACAGAUUCUUUUGAAGUCUUGUAUAUCCUUGACGAAUUUGGAGGAAGAUGGCGGCGGCUAAAUUGGAUGUGAAGAUUAAAUAGUUUUAAAAAUGCG